rnacentral:rRNA from 1 species
CCUACGGGAGGCAGCAGUGGGGAAUCUUGCGCAAUGGGCGAAAGCCUGACGCAGCGACGCCGCGUGAGUGAUGAAGGCCUUCGGGUUGUAAAGCUCUGUGGGGGGAGACGAAUAAGUCGUGGCCAACAUCCACGAUGAUGACGGUAUCCCCUUAGCAAGCACCGGCUAACUCUGUGCCAGCAGCCGCGGUAAUACAGAGGGUGCAAACGUUGUUCGGAAUUACUGGGCGUAAAGCGCGUGUAGGCGGUCCUGUAGGUCAGGUGUGAAAUCCCCCGGCUCAACCGAGGAAGUGCACUUGAAACCCCCAGGACUUGAGUGUUGGAGAGGAAGGCGGAAUUGUCGGUGUAGAGGUGAAAUUCGUAGAUAUCGACAGGAACACCUGCGGCGAAAGCGGCCUUCUGGACAAACACUGACGCUGAGACGCGAAAGCGUGGGGAGCAAACAGGAUUAGAUACCCUGGUAGUCCACGCCGUAAACGAUGGGUGCUAGAUGUCACGGCGUUCGUACCCGUCGUGGUCGUCGUAGUCGUACGACGUAGACGACCCGCCGCGGGAGGUACGGUCGGUCGAGACGUUAAACGUUAAACGUUAAAGUUAGUACGGCGUUGAGACGUUGCGACGGACGACGACGAGGGAGGAGG